rnacentral:rRNA from 1 species
UGCGCAGGCGGUUCGUUGUGUCUGAUGUGAAAUCCCCGGGCUCAACCCGGGAACUGCAUUGGAAACUGGCGGACUUGAGUGCGGCAGAGGGGGGUGGAAUUCCGCGUGUAGCAGUGAAAUGCGUAGAGAUGCGGAGGAACACCGAUGGCGAAGGCAGCCCCCUGGGCCGACACUGACGCUCAGGCACGAAAGCGUGGGGAGCAAACAGGAUUAGAUACCCUGGUAGUCCACGCCCUAAACGAUGUCGACUGGGUGUCGGGAGAGAGAUCUCUUGGUACCGAAGCUAACGCGUGAAGUCGACCGCCUGGGGAGUACGGCCGCAAGGUUAAA